rnacentral:lncRNA from 1 species
UAUGAUAGUAUCUGAUCAGAUAGCAGGGGUAAGUCAGUGGGAGGUUAAUGGAAAUUCUCUUGGUAGUGACCAUUAUAUCAUCUGGGUUAGUGUUAGGAAUCAAAAUAUGUGUUUAGAGGAUAAUUGGUUUCCAAGAUGGAAAAUGAGAGAGGCAAACUGGGGGUUAUAUAACUUUAAGGUGAGUGGUAAGCUGAUGGAAAUAAUUACGAACCUUAACGAACUUGACAGAAUGCAGGCUAAAAGUCUCAGAAUAUGUUGUGGUGCAUUUAGAACUUCUCCUGUACCAGCGCUGCAAGUAGAGACAGGAGAAAUGCCAUUACACCUCAGGCGUCUGAAAUUGAGUAUGGCUUAUUGGGUCAAUUUAAAAGGACAUAACGCAUCUCAUCCUACUAAGGAGGUCCUUAAUGAAUGUUGGGAAUAUGGCAGGUCUCAGAUCUGUAGCUUUGGCUGGGAAGCUAACAGAUUAGCAAGUCAGUUGGAGAUAGAGGACAUAACAUGCAGUAAGACUUUGCCUCUGGCCACAACCUCACCUUGGUUAUUUAGUUCCCCUAGGGUGAUUAUAGAAACUAAAGAAAAUGUAGGGCAGUAUCUGAGUAUGUGCUACAAUACAACAAAAAAAUAUACAGACGCAUCAAAAGAUUGUGAGGGUAAGACUGGCAUAGGGGUGUAUAUUCCUGAAUCUGAUAUAUAUAUUAAAAAGAGGGCUACUGAUCAGUUAUCCAUUUUUGCAGCUGAAAUGGCAGCCAUCAUAAUUGCAUUGCAAUGGCUAGAAGAGGCUAGGCUCCCUAAAGCAAUCAUUUGUUCUGACUCAAUGUCAUCUCUCAGUUCUAUUCAAAAUGGAGAAUCAGCAUGUAGACAGGAUCUAUUGAAUGAAAUAAAUCAAAUAAUUUUUGCAAUUAAUCAACAGGGAAGGACAGUCCAGUUUGUGUAGGUUGAAGGGAAUGAGGAAGCAGACAAGCUGGCAAAAGAGGCAACGAAAGAAGAGGAGGUUCAAUUAAACAUUCCACUCAGUAAGUCAGAGAUCAAGGUACUCAUCAAACAAAAAAAAUACAAUGUGGCAGUCUGAAUGGGAUAAGGGAAAAGGGUAGGCAUCUUUACAAAUUACAACAAUAAAUCGUAGGGAAAAAGAAUAGUUAUAUAAACAGACAGGAGGAGGUAUGGCUCUACACAAUGAGGAUCGGUCACACUGCUCUAAACAAUAAUUUAUUUAUCAUGAACAAACAUCCAUCUGGAAAUUGUGAGGUUUGUGGAGUAAGAGAGGAUGUAGAACAG